rnacentral:rRNA from 1 species
UACAGAGGUCUCAAGCGUUGUUCGGAUUCAUUGGCGUAAAGGGUGUGUAGGUGGCGCGCUAAGUCGGGUGUGAAAUUUCGGAGCUUAACUCCGAAACUGCAUUCGAUACUGGCGUGCUUGAGGACUGGAGAGGAGACUGGAAUUCAUGGUGUAGCAGUGAAAUGCGUAGAGAUCAUGAGGAAGACCAGUGCGAAGGCGGGUCUCUGGGACAGUUCCUGACACUGAGACACGAAGGCCAGGGGGAGCAAACGGG